rnacentral:rRNA from 1 species
CUCCUACGGAGGCAGCAGUAGGGAAUAUUGCGCAAUGGGCGAAAGCCUGACGCAGCGACGCCGCGUGAGUGAUGAAGGCCUUAGGGUCGUAAAGCUCUGUUGUACGGGAGAAAAAUGACGGUACCGUAUAAGAAAGGAUCGGCUAACUUCUUGCCAGCAGCCGCGGUAAUAC